CGUGUAGGCGGUGAGAUAAGUCUGGUGUGAAAUAUCCCGGCUCAACCGGGAAGGCGCGCUGGAAACUGUCUUACUUGAGUGAUGGAGGGGGAACUGGAAUUCCUGGUGUAGGGGUGAAAUCUGUAGAGAUCAGGAAGAACACCGGAGGCGAAGGCGAGUUUCUGGCCAUCUACUGACGCUGAGGCGCGAAAGCGUGGGGAGCGAACA
rnacentral:rRNA from 1 species